rnacentral:rRNA from 1 species
AUUGGACGCUGGCGGCAUGCCUUACACAUGCAAGUCGAACGGCAGCACGGGAGCAAUCCUGGUGGCGAGUGGCGAACGGGUGAGUAAAGUAUCGGAACGUGCCCAGUCGUGGGGGAUAACGUAGCGAAAGUUACGCUAAUACCGCAUACGAUCUAUGGAUGAAAGCGGGGGAUCGCAAGACCUCGCGCGAUUGGAGCGGCCGAUAUCAGAUUAGGUAGUUGGUGGGGUAAAGGCUCACCAAGCCGACGAUCUGUAGCUGGUCUGAGAGGACGACCAGCCACACUGGGACUGAGACACGGCCCAGACUCCUACGGGAGGCAGCAGUGGGGAAUUUUGGACAAUGGGCGAAAGCCUGAUCCAGCCAUGCCGCGUGCAGGAUGAAGGCCUUCGGGUUGUAAACUGCUUUUGUACGGAACGAAAAGGUUUGGCCUAAUAAGCUGAGCUCAUGACGGUACCGUAAGAAUAAGCACCGGCUAACUACGUGCCAGCCGCCGCUGUAAAAC